GCACAGAUAGCUGACAUCAACUUCCGUCAGGCAGCUCCUGGAGAUCGAACCUUUCGAUUGUAACUGGGACAAUUUGCAUAGUGAUUCCCUUUCAGAGCUUUCCCGGGUCCAUAACUAGCCCAGGCAGCUAUUCAAAUGCAAGUUGCAUCCCCCAAAUGCAAGGCUGGCCUGACCAAAAAGAGCCACACGGCGCCGGGAGAGGAGAGACUCGCGCCACGGUUCUCAUCCUUCUCUUUUCUCCUUCCUUCUCCCUUUCUCUUCUCCGGUUCCUGAUUUAGCUGGGAGCUAUUUAUUUCUGACUACAAAUGUGUGUGCGCGAGCCAGAGAGAGAGGGAGGGAACUGAUCUUUGGACUUAAAGAUGGAGACGAAGGAGCCGGAGGGAAUUUGGGUCUGUGUGUCUGGCUCAGACCCUAGGCGCUGAGGGGGGCCGUUGGGCAUCAAGCCAAGGGUCUUUCUUCUCGGCGCCCCUUAUUCUGCGACCUGGCAGGAAUCCGUGGGCCGAAGAGCGCCCCGGCUGAUCCGCCUGCCCCGGGCCGGGCUACAAGGAAAGUCUUGGAGCAGGGGGCCGUCCCGUCCCUGUCUUUAAAAUGAGCGCAAUAAAAGGGGGCAAAUCCUCGAACGCGAACCUGAUCGCAUGUCACAGAAGCAACUUGCCAUGAAAUCCGCUAAUGCGCCGCGACUCGCCCACCAGGGUUCCGUGCAGCAGAACCCCCAAGAGGACUGGCAGUGGGGCGUGAGGGGGAGCUAAACCUGCAGUUCAGGCCGGACACUUCCUCAGCAAAGCAUUGGAGGCCUGCGAGCCGGGCAUGGCGCACUGCUGUCCUGCCUACAUACAGAUACAAGCCCACACGUGUCAGGCCUGAAAAAGACACCGGACCGGGAGGAAAACUCAGGAACAGCUAUUCGGGAGCUCCUGGAGACCCUCCCGCCUGGACCCUUGGAACCUCAGAGAACCUCAGAGAAGACAGUCCCCUCCCCCUCUACUCCCCCACCCUCACCCUCCCCGCCCCCUCACAACAGCUGUGCUUUUGGGGCGCUCUGCUCGUGACAAUCCACAGGUCCCACGUCCCUGCCCAGCAUUGGCGCGUUAGAGAUCAGUCUGUGUACUCUCAGCUUUUCCUCCUAACCCCACUCCCGAGCCCUGGGUCACCGCAUUUAUGCCACAAGACCCCGAAAAGCUCCCAUGCACAAAAACUAAAGGACUCUAACAUGAUCCCUUGAGUAUCGGGCUAGUUCAGGAAGGAGCAAGCCGAGCAGGGUCUGGGGAAAAUACAACUGGACGCUUGGAGACUCCAUAAUCCUAUGCCUGAAAGGCUCUCAGGCCAGAGGGCAGGUGCACUUGCCCUGAGCCCCGGGUCCGAAACACGGGGGCUGGUUGUUGUGCCAGCCGGGAGGCGGAGGGAAGCAGAGGAGGUGGACAAGAAGCGGAAGGCCGAUCGGGUGGGAAGGGCAAGAAAAGAAGGUAAAGUAUCAGAAGGCAAGUGUGAGAGAUGAAGAGGGAAGGGAAAAGACUUGGGAGAAAGCAAGAAAAGGCCGGGGUCCAGCCCCAGCAGGCCCCAGGAGAGAGACACAGGCAAGGGGUGAGGAAACCAGAACACCAGCGUUUUAUUUUUAAAUCUUCUAGGUGUCUGCGGGUCAAAUAAAGACAAGGGCGGUAACGAUUAUUCUGUUAAAUCUAUGGUACUUGACUGCGCAAACACUAAUUGAUUAGACACCAAAAUGAUUUGUUUAAAGAGUUUUCCUCCCCAAGUGCAGCUGCUCUCAGGUCCAGGUCGGCGUUACCCGGCGAGACUGCGGAGGAGUUCGCCAAGUGGGCCAGGCGCCCCGCCGCCUAGCCCGCAAUCUGUGUAGGGUCGGGUGGCUGGUCCACGCUCAAUAGGCCUGAGGGUACAGGCUGGACGGCAUCCCGUGACUUCUGCUCUUAGGGACCACCUCAAAGGGAUUUUGCUACACCCGCCUCCUCUAAAUUGCACCGAGGAGGAGCCCCCUCUCUUCCCGCUCUCCUUUCCAGUCCCCAGCCUUGGAAGUCAACACCUGCCCGUGGUUAAUUCGGCGUACUGUCCCCCAAAAGUGGAAGCAUCGAAAGAACAGCAUUUCCGGCGGUCUAAAGACUGGAAAAUUCACCGCCCCGGAGGCGUGGGUAGGUUCCCUUUGUAAUAUUCUUCAACGUUGUAAAGUGACCAAGAAAGAAAAUCCGUGAAGGGUUGACGGUUGGCCAACUUCUCCAGAAUCGCGCCGGUUGCGACUAGCACAGUCCUGUGGCCAGAGAGUCACCUAGGAACCUGGACCCCCUCCUUCAUGCUCAGGACGUCAGGACACCCACUCUUCCUUCAACGCUCUUGGUUCGAAGCCUUGAAAAGCUCUCGCCAGAGUGGAUGACUGCCGGAACGGGAUUUCAACCCAGGUGACGCUGCCUCCAGUUCAGCUAGGGAACCUAGAAAGGGGAGCGGUUUGCUUCCUGCACCCAGGAGGUAACAGACACACCAGGAGUGGUCUGAUGUUCCAGGAUGGCCACUCAGGUGGCUCUUGGUAGGUCUGGAAUUUCUAGGGUUGGCAUGAGCUGACAGCCUUUCAGCAGAGUAUCCUCUCUUUGGGAUUUGGAGUUACGAGUAGAGUAAGUUGAAACAAAGAAAAGUGCGAAAAUGCCGAAUUUUUUAAAAUUCACGCGUGAAAACCGAAUUUAAGAAGGAAAAAGUAGGGGAGAAGUUAACGAAAAGGUGAAUAAAAACUAUAGACAAAAAGAUGAUCAAAGAUUGAAAAAGAAGGCCAGGAUAAUUGGUAACUUCCUUGUCCCAGAGUGAGGGUCACUAUUUUUUUUUCCUCAGUGUUGGAAAUUGAACCCAGGGCCUGGAACCUAGUAUCUUUCUAUAACUGAGCUACACCCUCAGCCCAGUAACUUGGUUUUUGUGUUUUAAAAAAUUAUUUUCAAUAGCAAAUCACCAAUCCAGUCCCUUCUAUGUUUCUUGAUAAUUCUAUUCUAAGCCAAUAGUAAUUUUCUGAAUGAAAUUUCUCCAGAGAUGGGAGGACUCCCGAGGAAGACAGGAGAGCCCAAUGGGAAGCACCCAGGAUCAAAUCCUUCACCCCCAGCGAUCAAGUGCUUUAUUGUAGUUAGAUAUCAAGGAAAUGGUUCCACACCAGCAGUUUAAUUCUAGACUGAAUGUAGUCAUCAGAAAUGAUAAUGAAUUCCAUUCUGAGGCUCUAGCCAAGGAGUGGGUCUUCCCCUGGGACCUUGGAGAUAUUUGCUCUGACACCCAGGAUUGCUGUUUGUGACACCAAAAAAUGAAAAGUACAUGUUUGAUGGCUCAGGGGGGUCUAGAAACAUUUAUUUGGAAUGGUCCUGAAGACUGGGAAAUAAUCCUGUAUUACACCUCUACUACUCACAAAGAAAAAUAAAGUAUUAACUUUGAAACCAA